CACUGGAGGCAGCGGUUCAUCGAUCUGUUCCCUGAAAAGCGAUAAAUAUAGCAACAGGAAGCGAUCGAUAAACCUCUGCAUCCAGU
rfam:Solanum tuberosum cultivar DM 1-3 516 R44 scf00062_34, whole genome shotgun sequence.